UGAAAGUGGCGCUGAAAGACCAGUAGAAUUCUGUUCUGUAUCCUACAUGUAGAUAUUCACACAAACGAAACGGAUGUUUUAUGGCAAAUUCUUUCGGUCAGACAGCUAACUUUAGUGAUUUUUUUUUCAAUCCGUUCGAACGAAUCAUAACAAUAAUCUUUUGAACAAAAGAUCCGGUUCGAAAGAACAACUCGAUCGCAAUUCGGAGCAUCAAAGACUGAAACAGCACGUUUCAGGUUUUCAAGACUUGCAGUUUUUGAGCUAUUGAACAAAAACAAUGGAGCGGCGGCAUGCUCAGUUUGUAAACAAUCGCAGAGCAGAUCUUGUCCAGAGGGUUAUUGCUGUGAUGGACAUUGCUGAUGCACUGAAAUCUGCUGAAAUAAUUCAGCCUGAAACAUACUCAAAUAUUUAUGCAGCCUCUACAAGAAUGGAAAAAAUGAGAGAGCUCCUUGAUGCUCUGAACACUGACCAAGCAAAAUCUGCUUUUUACAGUUUGCUUAAAGAUAAGGAGUCAUCCCUGGUUGUAGAUCUUGAACAACAAGGAGUUAAACAAGGGAUUAAAGGGGCACAGACCUCAUCAGAAGUACUGGAAAAUAAAUCUCGCCCUCAAAAUGCAGAAACAUUACAAGUGCAAACUAUCGAACAAAAGACUGAGGAAAAACAAAUCAUGUGGAACAAAUCCUCCAAAACACAUAGUACAAAAAUAGAGGAGCUGUUAAAAAAAACUGACAUCAAAAAAGUAGGGAAUCUCUACUUUUAUAAAGAUGAAAAGUACGUGAUUGGCUCUGGAGGAAGCAGCUCACAAGUAUAUAUUGGCUUGAGUGAAGAUGGCACUGAGGUGGCCAUUAAACGAAUAAUGAAGAACCCGAAGAACAACAAAGACUUUGACAAUGAACUGAAGUGUCUACAAGAUUUAAAGCUUGAGAGCAAGUAUAUCGUCAGGUAUGUGACCUUUGUAGCGGAUGAGGAUUUUUACUAUCUUGCAAACCAGCUUUGUGAGUACGAUCUGGAGGACUACAUGAAAGAGCUUCGUCAGCAAGAACGAAAUGACAAAGAGAACAUUUUGAGGAAAAUAGUGAAGGAGAUGCUUCUUGGCCUUCAAGUUCUUCACCGUGCUGAAGUGAUACACCGUGAUAUAAAGCCUAGAAAUGUUUUGAUAGAUACAGAAGGAAAGGCAAGGCUGGCUGACUUUGGUAUAAGUCGCAAACUGGAGGAGGGAAAAACCACAGUGUAUACUGACAGAGCUGGAACACAAGGCUGGGAGGCAACGGAGAUCCUGAAUCAGACUGAUUCAAAGGGUCGUUACAAAAUGAGCUCAGACAUCCAGGUUGCUGGGAUGUUGGUGUACUACAUCCUCUCUGAUGGAAAACAUCCUUUUGGGGACAUGGAUCGUGAGGGGAACAUCAAGAUUGGGAAGUACACUCUCGAACAUGUACAAGAUAUAGUAGCCAAGGAUCUCAUUGAAUGGAUGAUCAACAAAGAACCAGCAGAGAGAUUGACCAUUGAUGAGGUCCUACGACACCCUUAUUUCUGGGAUGAUUCCAGAAAAAAUGAAGUUGUUAAGAAGCUAGGUGAUCAACACGAAGUCCAGUACUAUACUGAUAUUUCAGAAGCUUGCAAAAUUAAGAAAGAUGAAGAAGGUCUAACAGCAAAAGAGGCAGUUGAACGACUCUUCAAUAACAAAAAGGACAAGAACAGGAAAGCUAAACUCCUUGAGAUGCUAGGCGAAACAGAGGAAGUCCAGGAAAACAAAAUGGAAUAUCUUUGUAAGCUUUGCGACUGUGCAGAGAAAUACACACAAAAAAAAUCUUUUGAAAAUUGGCAAUCAAAGCUUAAGGUUCGAUGGCCAGGCAUUAACAUCGACAAAGCUACUCCGGAGGACUUAGUUGGCGUGCUCCGUUUUAUUCGCAACAACAUGACACACGCUUUGAACUUUGAUCCAGAGAUCCUCAACCUAUUUUCCAGAUUUCUUCACCAGCUUACACAGAUUGGCUAAAGAUAUGAGCUGGGACUGUACCUGGUCUUAAGAUGAGCAAGGAGAACAUCAGCUCCUUGUUGCGAGUGGGAGAUGAGAGAGCCUCAAACAUGGGGACUAGAAUUUUUAGGUUCUAGCAUGUCCAUGGAGGGGUGAAGAGACACAUGUAACCCAUCAGGGAAGCAUGUGUCACCACUCUCAUUCUCUUUUAGCAUAUGUAUUCCGAGAGUUUCAUUCUAUUAUUCUGUUUUUAAUAUGUUGUAUUAUUCUCUUUUACAGCUUUGCAUGUAAUUAUAUAAUACUUUGUAUCAUUCUGUUCUUUGUAAGGGUAUUUAGGAUACCAUGUGUGGGUACUGGAUUCUGAAAGGGGUGGAUUCUGGAAUCCACUGGCGGUUCAUUAUAUAUCUUUUAUAAUCAAGUUAUUAAUCAACAUUUAUUCUUCUAAAUAUUACAUUAUUUGAAUGACUUCUUCAAUGUAUAUUAAAGCAUUUAUUUUACUUUUCCAUCUUCAUUCACUAGAGUGUCUGUACCUCUUACUGUGAGUGUUGAGAACAUGUUAUCAGUAUGUUUUGGGGAAGUAUUCUGUUCAGCCAACUUCAACCUUGAAGAAGCUAUGUAUCUGUGUGUGCACUAGUAUUUUUUUGUUACAGACAAACUAUAGAGGACGAGAAAUGACUUAAGUAUAAAUAAAUGAAUAAAUACGUAAAUGAAAAAAUAAAUAAAUAAAUGUGGAAAUACAUAAAUAAAUGAAUAAAUAAAUAUAGAAAUAAAAAAAUAACUGGGGGGUAGCUAUGAGAAGGUUUCGAAAAGUUACAAUAAUUAGAACACUUAUCCAGUCCUAUCCCAAAAGCGUUUGGCUGCUCCAGCUCACUCCAAUCCUGCAACCAAAUCCUCCACAUCCCUUAACAUCGGGACCAUCAUAGCCACUCCAGAGUUCACUACAGCCCCAGAGUCCAUACCAGAGCCUCUUAGCAAGAUGGCCGCCAUCCCAAAGCCGCGUCGCAAGAUGGCCGCCGCCACACCUGAGCCUCUUCGCAAGAUGGCCGCCGCCACGCAUGAGCCCUCACCAGAAUCUGCGGAGGACCAAUGGCUGAUUGACUUCUGAUGCUCGAUUUGUGGACGAUCGCAGUGAAGUUCCCAUUCAGAAGGUUAAUUCCUUGUUGCAAAUUUUUGAUGCACUGAAGUCAGUUGGAAUAAUUAACCAUGACACAUACUCAAAGAUUCAGGUAGCCACUAAAAAUAAGGAUAAAAUGAGAGCGUUCCUUGAUUCUCUGAGCACUGAGCCAUCCCUGGUUGAAGAUCUUGAACAAGGUCGGCAAGGGAUUCCAGGGUCUUCGGCACAGACCUCAUCAGAAGUACUGGAAAUUGAACCUCGCCCUAAAUAUGCAGAAACAUUACAAGUGCAAACUAUCAAACAAAAGAUUGAGGAGAAAAAAAAUCAGGUGGAACAAAUCCUCCAAAAGACAUAGUACAAAAGUAGAGGAGCUGUCAAAAAAGUCUGACCUCGAAAAAGUAGGGAAUCUCUACUUUUAUAAAGAUGAGAAGUACGUGAUUGGCUCUGGAGGAAGCGGCACAGUAUAUAUUGGCUUGAGUGAAGAUGGCACUGAGGUGGCCAUUAAACGAAUAAUAAAGAACCCGAAGAACAACAAAGACUUUGACAAUGAACUGAAGUGUCUACAAGAUUUAAAGCUUGAGAGCAAGUAUAUCGUCAGGUAUGUGACCUUUGUAGUGGAUGAAGAUUUUUACUAUCUUGCAAACCAGCUUUGUGAGUACGAUCUGGAGGACUACAUGAAAGAGCUUCGUCAGCAAGAACGAAAUGACAAAGAGAACAUUUUGAGGAAAAUAGUGAAGGAGAUGCUUCUUGGCCUUCAAGUUCUUCACCGUGCUGGAGUGAUACACCGUGAUAUAAAGCCUAGAAAUGUUUUGAUAGAUACAGAAGGAAAGGCAAGGCUGGCCGACUUUGGUAUAAGUCGCAAACUGGAGGAGGGAAAAACCACAGUGUAUACUGACAGAGCUGGAACACAAGGCUGGGAGGCAACGGAGAUCCUGAAUCAGACUGACAAGAGUGGUUACAAAAAGUGCUCAGACAUCCAGGUUGCAGGGAUGUUAACCUAUUACAUCCUCUCUGAUGGGAAACAUCCUUUUGGAGAUGCCAUUGUCCGUGAGAUGAACAUUUUAAGCGGAAAAUAUUCUCUUAACGAUGUCCAAGACAAAAAAAGCAAUGGAUCUCGUAGAAUGGAUGAUCAACAAAGACCAAGAUAAGAGACCAACCGUUGACAAGGUCUUAGAUCACCCUUAUUUCUGGGAUGAUAAAAGGAUAAGGGAGGUCCUUCACAAUCUGGGUAAUAAAGAGGAAGUCCAGGAAUACAAGAACUAUGAAAGCAAUAAAGAGCUUUACGACACUGUACAGAAAUACACAAAGGGAAAAUCCUUUUCUGGUUGGAAGUCAAACGUGAGUAAAGACUUCUUCACCAAAUGUAAGAGAUGUGUUUUCCCCACCUUGCCAAACUGUUUGGUUCAGUUAAGGGUGUGUUUGGACUAUUAACAGCACAACAAUUCUAGCGACUUCAAAUUGGGUUGUAGCUUUGUUCUGAUUGGACAGAGGCAAAAAACAAUGCCAAAUAGGACAAUGUAACUAACUCAGGAUAGCAAAAUAAACAACAGGCUUAUAAACGUUCAAAGGGAGAGGAAACGUUUUCCAUUUCUUUUGUUGUUUGUCUUGCAAAUUCAUUAAUCAUUCAUUAAUUAUGCCAUCAUAAAUCAUUCAACAAACCAGACUGAAUUCAUACAUGCAUGAAACAGAAGUUUCGAUAGUCAUUUCUUUCUCAUUGUGACGUAUAUCAGAGUGAAAUGGCUUAUUGAACAAGAAUAAAUGUAGGGUGGGGCUUGAUUUUGUUCAUCAGGAUUUGAUUGGAUGGUUGUGGUUUUCUAUUGGUGGAUCUCAUGUGAGUGACAGGUUGCCCCGCCCUCGUGCCAGUAAACACAUCAUCAGAGAAGAGCUGCAAGAGGGAGGGGAAGUUAAUUAAAGGUUAUGAGGCACAUGAAUUAAAAAUAAUUUAUGUGCAUGGAUAAAUCAUUUUUAAUAAAUAUUCACUAUAACAUGGUAAAUUAUUAUAAAAACAGUGUUGUAUUUUAUGGUUGUUUGCUGUCAGUAUUUCCUGCUCUAAAAUUUCAUGGCAUAAGACUCCAGCUUUGUAUCUGCAGGCUCCUGAGACAUGGACAAAAAUUGGCCAAAGUCUUCCCAAUGACUUACUUGGCCUAUUACGGUAUUUACUGGGACAUCAGGAAAAACGCUUCUAUGCAGAGAAGAUGAUUGAUGAGUUCCCAGAUUUCCUCAUCAGUUUACACCGGUUGGCUACUGACAUGGGCUGGGAAUACUGAAGAGGCAGAGAAAUUGGAUGUUGGACACCUAUAGCCCACUGCGUGAUUUUUUUUUUUUGUUUUGUUUCACAAAACAGUUCAGCAGAAAUCCCACCCUGGAGCCGAUUCUAAAGAUUUAAUUGGCCAUGUCAAUCACAGUGACGAUUGCCUACACCAAACACUGAUCCCUAAACCUGUAUCCCUAAACGGGUGUCACUGUAACCUCAGCCAAUGAAAUUGGUUGCAGGGCGGGAUUUCCGCUGAACUAGUUUGGGGGGAAAAAUCACACAUAGCCACUGCUUUGCAUUCAAUGUUGAAUAAUGUUGUUGUUAUGCAUCCCCAAUGCCCAGUUCUAAACUCCACAAUACUGGUUUCAACUCAAGACUGUUGGCGGUGGUUUUAAGGCCUGCACCUCUUUGCUAUCAUGUUUUUGACUUAUAUUCAAUAUUGACAUUUUUGACUUGCUGUUUACAUGCAUCAAAUCAGCAAUGUAAUGAUUUUAACAUAUGCUUUGCUUCUUUUCCCAUGUGAAUUUUUUGUAAUUUGAUGCAGGCAAUAUAAUAGAGUACCUCAGGGAUGACGUGUUUUUGUAGGCAAAACCCGGAAGCGAGUUAGCAUUUUAGCACUUAGGUUCCAUCGCCCUAAAGUCUAUGGGUUUUUUGAAUGGGUUUUUGCUAAAUCGCGUGAAAUAAGGUCUGUGGUUAACAAAGCCUCUAAAUAUUUUCACAUUUUGAUCUAUGACAUAAAACACACCAGUUAUAACCCGCUUGUGAUUUUUAUAAACCUUUAUUGUGUCUUAAAAAUGGCGGUUGCUAACAAAUUGCUAAAAGGGACUACUUCCUUUGGCGGGGACUUUAGACGUCAUCAUGACAAACAGGACAUUUGGACAGUAUUUGUCAUGAAAAAGUGGAUAAGUAUUCAUACACAGCACAGAUCAUAAUCAGCGAGCAUGUUUUUAAAUAAAGUUGUUUUUUAAAUAAAGUUUGAGGAAGCUCGGUGGUGGUGACGUUGAUCCGCGACCAUGGUGUGCUGUAGUCCGUUUAUAGCCUACUGUUAGCUUUUUAUAUCUGAUGACUUCAUUUAGGCUUCAAAAUGUAUAAAUGCUGUGUUAACUUGUAAAGAUUAUCUUGAUAGACAAAACGUGUAAGUGUCAUAACCCUUUGUUAAACACAGAGCUUAUUUUUUGCGAUUUUCCAAAAGUCUAUGGGAAAAAUGCAUUGGCUUUCGAUCGAGGGAACCCGUGCGCCGCUAACUUCCAGGUUGGCCUACAAAAACACGUCAUCCCUGAGGUACUCUAUACUAAGUAGAGUUGUAAAUGUACAUACAUUUUUUAAAAAAUGAAAAUAUGCUGACCGUUAAAAUGCGUCAUCACGGUCUGUGAAGAGGGUCUAUUGUGAAAUGUUUUGUAAAAGCAGGCAAUGAGUGUGUCUUCUGAAAAUAAUUACAAACACCUGUACUUACAAGUUUUUAAAUUUUGUUUUUGUAAAAUUCUUAUAAUAGUGCGGUUGUUUUUCAUAAAACUGAGGUUGAACCACUGGAGUCACAUGGAUUACUUUAAUGAUGUCUUUACUACCUUUAUGGGGCUUGAAAGCGGUAGUUGCGUGAACUGUCAAUGGAGGGACAGAAAGCUCUCAGAUUUCAUCAAAAAGAUCUUCAUUUAUGUUCCGAAGGUGAACGAAGGUAUACGGGUAAUUAAUGACAGUUUUAAUUUUUGGGUGAACUAUCACUUUAAAAGUUCCUUCUGAAACUUCCUUCAGAACUUCUGAAAGUUCGUUUCAGGAAGUAAUCAUCAAUAGCAACAGUAGGCUGCUUGAGCUCAAACAUAAAUAUUGCUAUAAUUUCCCACUACUAUAGAUGUACAUAUCUCAACUAUUGAGGGUCUAGGGGGGUCUCGUGUUGUUGUAUCUGAUUGGCUGCAUCGUUUUCCUCUUCCGCACUCUACGCAGCGUCAAUCUGUAUUCCGCCCUGUCUUCUGCAGGACAAAAAAAACGUGUUUUCUUAUAAACUACAGCUCAUUUAAAGUGGCUGAAGAAAAACAAUGGAACAUCAGCAUGCUGAGUUUGUCGACACACACUAUGAAGCUCUCAUCCAAAGAGUCACAUCGGCGAUAAACAUUGCUGAUAAGCUGCAUGAAAACAGAAAGCUUACCUGGAGAGUGUAUUCAAAGAUCACAAACGCAACUUCUAAAAUAACCCAAGUGAGAGAGCUCUUAAACGCUGUGAAAUCUGGAGGACCUGCAGUAAAAUCGGCUUUUUACGAAGUACUGCAAGAAAUCGAGCCUGGUGUCAUUCAAGAACUUGAAGGUUCAUCCUCACAGACGGCCUAUGACAAGCAGGUCACUGAGACUCACCAUCAAAAAGUAGAAACAGAAAAGGUGCAAGAUAAAACAGACAGACCUGAUGAUGAUGAGAUCAUCCGGUGCAACCCAUCCUCAAUAAAAUACAGAAGUAAAAUAGAAGAGCUCCAGAAAGAUCCCUCCAAGAAAAAAGUCAGUAACAUCUACUUUUCCAGAAGUAAUAAUUACAUUAUUGGCUCUGGAGGAAGCGGCACAGUAUAUCUUGGCCUGAAGAAAGAUGGCACUGAGGUGGCCAUUAAACGAAUAACCAAGGACCCACUGAACAGCAAAGACUUUGAAAAUGAACUGAAGCAUCUACGAGAUUUAAAGCUUGAGAGCAAGAACAUCGUCAGGUAUGUGGACUUAGCAGAGGAUGAAGAUUUUUAUUAUCUUGCACUACAGCUUUGUGAAUAUGAUAUGGAGGACUACAUGGAAAAUCUUCGUCUGCAGGAACAAAAGGUCAAAGACGACUCUUUGAGGAAAAUAGUGAAGGAGAUGCUUCUUGGCCUUCAAGUUCUUCACCGUGCUGGAGUGAUACAUCGUGACAUAAAGCCUAGAAAUGUUUUGAUAGAUUCUGGAAAAAAUGCAAGACUUGCUGACUUUGGCUUAAGUCGCAAACUGGAGGAGGGCAGAAGCACAGUUCAUACUGUUAGAGCUGGAACACAAGGCUGGGAGGCAACAGAGAUCCUGAAUCAGACUGAAAAGGGUCAUUACAAAAAGAGCUCAGACAUCCAGGUUGCUGGGAUGUUGGUGUACUACAUCCUCUCUGAUGGAAAACAUCCUUUUGGGGACAUGGAUCGUGAGGGGAACAUCAAGAUUGGGAAGUACACUCUCGAACAUGUACAAGAUAUAGUAGCCAAGGAUCUCAUUGAAUGGAUGAUCAACAAAGAACCAGCAGAGAGAUUGACCAUUGAUGAGGUCCUACGACACCCUUAUUUCUGGGAUGAUUCCAGCAAAGAUGCAGUCCUCAGGAAGCUGGGUGAUAGGCCUGAAAUCCAGAACUAUGAGACUUUAUCAAAACUUCGCAACCUCUACAUAGAAAAGGAGCACACAGAGGAAACAGACCCAAUAGCAACACUGACCAUCUAUGAGGCCUUCAAUCAACUUAAAAUCGAGAAUGAAAAGAAGAGAAAUGACAUCCUUGCUAUAGUGGGUGAGGAUUUAAAAAACCUUUGGAAGCUCUUCAACACCGCAAAAGAUGUCACAGAGGGAAAAUCCUUUUCGAAUUGGAAAUCAAAGCUUUCUGAAAUAUGGACAGACAUUAACAAAAAGCUUCCAGAGGACAUACUUGGCCUGCUGCGUGUUUUGCGCAACAAACUGGUGCAUGCAAAUGUCAGAAAUGAAUUUGAAGAGAGGAACAUUUUUGGUCUUUUCCCAGACUUCUUCAUCAGUUUACACAGAGUGGCUAAAGACUUAAACUGGAAUUAUUGAGGAAGCUGAGAGGAAAUUACGCCACAACAUGGCAAAAGCGGUUACAGUUUUCACAUUCAACAUAGAGAGCAGUCAUUCAAGCACUGUUCUCAAAAUUGUUACAUGACUUCAUUUCUAAUGGGUUGUUCCUGGGAUUUUGUAGUUCAGUGGAUAGAUUCACAGAUUAAAGUUAAAAAGAAAAGAAAAAAAGCUGUGAUUAUAUCUUCUCUUUUAAUUACAAAGGUUUCAGGGUCCACUCAAAUAUAAGGUUUUGUUUUAACAAACUAAAAAUGCAGCAGCAAGUUGGUGGAUGUAUAUUAGUAACAAAAACAUGUUUGUUUGAAUUGUGGUUUGUGGUUUCUCUGUAAUCGACCACUAAGUUCGACCAGUAAGUUAUUAUGAAAUCAAGAUUUAAUCAAAUCAGGGCUGUAAUAAUUUUUAUAUGAUUGGCAUCUUUCCAUUUUUUAUGUUUGUUUGGAAAAUGUUUGGAAUAAAUUUUUAAAUAUUUUUCUAAA